rnacentral:rRNA from 1 species
UACGUAGGCAGCGAGCGUUGUUCGGAAUUACUGGGCGUAAAGAGUGUGUAGGCGGUGCUCUAAGUUCGGUGUGAAAUCUCCCGGCUUAACUGGGAGGGUGCGCCGGAAACUGGAGUGCUCGAGCGUGGGAGAGGAAAGCGGAAUUCCUGGUGUAGCGGUGAAAUGCGCAGAUAUCAGGAGGAACACCGGUGGCGAAGGCGGGUCUCUGGGCCGAUACUGACACUGAGGCACGAAAGCUAGGGGAGCAAACAGG